rnacentral:rRNA from 1 species
AUUGAACGCUGGCGGCAUGCCUUACACAUGCAAGUCGAACGGCAGCACGGGGAGCAAUCCUGGUGGCGAGUGGCGAACGGGUGAGUAAUACAUCGGAACGUGUCCAGUUGUGGGGGAUAGCCCGGCGAAAGCCGGAUUAAUACCGCAUACGACCUACGGGUGAAAGCGGGGGAUCGCAAGACCUCGCGCUAUUGGGGCGGCCGAUGUCAGAUUAGCUUGUUGGUGGGGUAAAAGCCUACCAAGGCGACGAUCUGUAGCUGGUCUGAGAGGACGACCAGCCACACUGGGACUGAGAAACGGCCCAGACUCCUACGGGAGGCAGCAGUGGGGAAUUUUGGACAAUGGGCGCAAGCCUGAUCCAGCCAUGCCGCGUGCGGGAAGAAGGCCU